AUCUUUAGCUCAGUUGGUUAGAGCUAUCGGCUCAUAACCGAUCGGUCGCUGGUUCGAAUCCAGCAAGAUCC
rnacentral:tRNA from 1 species